rnacentral:rRNA from 1 species
ACUCCUACGGGAGGCAGCAGUGGGGAAUUUUGGACAAUGGGCGCAAGCCUGAUCCAGCAAUGCCGCGUGAGUGAAGAAGGCCUUCGGGUUGUAAAGCUCUUCAGCCGAGAAGAAAAGGCUGUGACUAAUACAUAGCAGUCAUGACGGUAUCAACAGAGAGCACCGGCUAACUACGUGCCAGCAGCCGCGGUAAUU